rnacentral:rRNA from 1 species
CCAGAGAACUUGGCAGAGAUGCCUUGGUGCCUUCGGGACCUCUGAGACAGGUGCUGCAUGGCUGUCGUCAGCUCGUGUUGUGAAAUGUUGGGUUAAGUCCCGCAACGAGCGCAACCCCUAUCCUUUGUUGCCAGCGAUUCGGUCGGGAACUCAAAGGAGACUGCCGGUGAUAAACCGGAGGAAGGUGGAGAUGACGUCAAGUCAUCAUGGCCCUUACGAGUAGGGCUACACACGUGCUACAAUGGCGCAUACAAAGAGAAGCGACCUCGCGAGAGCAAGCGGACCUCAUAAAGUGCGUCGUAGUCCGGAUCGGAGUCUGCAACUCGACUCCGUGAAGUCGGAAUCGCUAGUAAUCGUAGAUCAGAAUGCUACGGUGAAUACGUUCCCGGGCCUUGUACACACCGCCCGUCACACCAUGGGAGUGGGUUGCAAAAGAAGUAGAUAGCUUAACCUUCGGGAGGGCGUUUACCACUUUGUGAUUCAUGACUGGGGUGAAGUCGUAACAAGGUAAGCGUAGCGAG